UCAAUUAACCUAAAUACUCUGAAGCCGUCAUAUCCCAUUUGAUUUUGGAAGCUAAGCAGGGUUAGCCCUAGAUAGUACUUGGGUUGGAAACCUCUGGCAAAUGCUAAAUGCUGCUUAGG
rnacentral:rRNA from 11 species